AACGAACGCUGGCGGCAUGCCUAACACAUGCAAGUCGAACGAGACCUUCGGGUCUAGUGGCGCACGGGCGCGUGACGCGUGGGAACCUGCCUUUAGGUUCGGAAUAACUCAGAGAAAUUUGAGCUAAUACCGGAUGAUGUCUUCGGACCAAAGAUUUAUCGCCUUUAGAUGGGCCCGCGUUGGAUUAGCUAGUUGGUGGGGUAAAGGCCUACCAAGGCGACGAUCCAUAGCUGGUCUGAGAGGAUGAUCAGCCACACUGGGACUGAGACACGGCCCAGACUCCUACGGGAGGCAGCAGUGGGGAAUAUUGGACAAUGGGCGAAAGCCUGAUCCAGCAAUGCCGCGUGAGUGAUGAAGGCCUUAGGGUUGUAAAGCUCUUUUACCCGAGAUGAUAAUGACAGUAGCGGGAGAAUAAGCUCCGGCUAACUCCGUG
rnacentral:rRNA from 1 species